rnacentral:rRNA from 1 species
CCUACGUGCGGCUGCAGUGGGGGAUAUUGCACAAUGCGGGAAACCCUGAUGCAGCGACGCCGCGUGAGUGAAGAAGUAUUUCGGUAUGUAAAGCUCUAUCAGCAGGGAAGAAAAUGACAGUACCUGACCAAGAAGCCCCGGCUAACUACGUGCCAGCAGCCGCGGUAAUACGUAGGGGGCAAGCGUUAUCCGGAUUUACUGGGUGUAAAGGGAGCGUAGACGGCAGCACAAGUCUGGAGUGAAAUGCCGGGGCUUAACCCCGGAACUGCUUUGGAAACUGUGCAGCUAGAGUGCAGGAGAGGUAAGUGGAAUUCCUAGUGUAGCGGUGAAAUGCGUAGAUAUUAGGAGGAACACCAGUGGCGAAGGCGGCUUACUGGACUGUAACUGACGCUGAUGCUCGAAAGCGCGGGUAUCGAACAGGAUUAGAUACCCUGGUAGUC